UACGUAGGGCGCGAGCGUUAUCCGGAAUUAUUGGGCGUAAAGAGCUUGUAGGCGGUUUGUCGCGUCUGCUGUGAAAAUCCGGGGCUCAACCCCGGACUUGCAGUGGGUACGGGCAGACUAGAGUGUGGUAGGGGAGACUGGAAUUCCUGGUGUAGCGGUGGAAUGCGCAGAUAUCAGGAGGAACACCGGUGGCGAAGGCGGGACUCUGGGCAUGUCCUGACGCUGAGGAGCGAAAGUGUGGGGAGCGAACAGG
rnacentral:rRNA from 1 species